CAGACGGGUGAGUAACGCGUGGGAACGUACCUUUCGGUUCGGAACAACAGUUAGAAAUGACUGCUAAUACCGAAUACGCCCUCCGGGGGAAAGAUUUAUCGCCGAAAGAUCGGCCCGCGUUAGAUUAGCUAGUUGGUGGGGUAAAGGCCUACCAAGGCGACGAUCUAUAGCUGGUCUGAGAGGACGACCAGCCACACUGGGACUGAGACACGGCCCAGACUCCUACGGGAGGCAGCAGUGGGGAAUAUUGGACAAUGGGCGAAAGCCUGAUCCAGCCAUGCCGCGUGGAUGAAGAAGGCCUUAGGGUUGUAAAGUCCUUUCGCUAGGGAAGAUAAUGACGGUACCUAGUAAAGAAGCCCCGGCUAAUUUCGUGCCAGCAGCCGCGGUAAUACGAAAGGGGCUAGCGUUGUUCGGAAUUACUGGGCGUAAAGCGCACGUAGGCGGCCUUGUAAGUUGGGGGUGAAAUCCCGGAGCUCAACUCCGGAACUGCCUCCAAAACUACAAAGCUCGAGAAUGUGAGAGGUGAGUGGAAUUCCGAGUGUAGAGGUGAAAUUCGUAGAUAUUCGGAAGAACACCAGUGGCGAAA
rnacentral:rRNA from 1 species